rnacentral:lncRNA from 1 species
UAUAAUUAAAAUAGUGAUUUCUUCAAAAAUACUUUUGGAUUUGUAGCUCCGUAAAACUUUAACCAUAGCUUUGAUUUCAAUUCUAUUUACGCUUACGCGUUUGUAUCGUUGAGUACUUCAAGAAUACGCUAAAAGAAUAUUUCGUACAUCUCACUAUGUGUUGGUCAAUGAAAGUCAACACCCUCACCUCUAGGAGCAUUUUCGACAAUUCACUCAUUUCAAUUUAAUAACAUUGUAAAAUUAGAGACGGAUUGUCACAAUUUACCCACCUUAAAAAAAUUUUGUCUCCGAAAUUUGAAGUCACUUGUUAUACAUAAUAUACUCCAAAAGAUAGGAAGAAAGCAUACAUAUAAGGAAGAAAUCAAGUUAGAGCGGUUGCAUAAAAGACAAUAUCAUUCCGUCGUGAUUGGAGUGCAGUAAUUCCUCUUACAUGCCCCCAAACUCGUACUUUCCUUCUCCUUUGGUACAAUACUAAAAUAUAAUACUACAAUAUAAAAUCCUUUAUCAAAACAUCAAGUCAAAAAUAGAUAUAUAGUAAUAUAUAGUCAAAAUAUGUAUAUAAUAUAAUAUACCACUUAAAAUAGUUGUACUGAAAUAAAAAAAUGAACAUAGAAAGGUUCCACCUACGCACUUGUAGCGUAACGCACUCCGAGAAUAAGCAUGUAGUAACACUGGGUUAAGCCCAAACGAUAAAUAAAUAACUAGAUGUAUAAAUAAAUAAAAACACUAAUGUAAAUGGACCUAAAUGUCCACUUGCUUAAUGAGUUCAACAAAUAAGUUAUCGAUAUUACGGUCUGCAACUCGCGAUACUGACAACUCUUUGUUGUCACGUUAAACAAGGAAAUAAUUCCAGAGGGUGCAAUAUUACCAUCUUGCCCCUCCUUGGGAAAUACACAUACAUCGUCUGACUAGUGCCUCAACCGCGCUCACGUACUACCCUCUUAGGUCAUAACGUCAAUAGCACUCAAUUUGCUACCUCGAAAUCUUGACCAUUCAAAACAUGAUUGCAAUACUCACCUGUCAAUCAUGUGCCAUGCAUAAAAUCUCCGUACUACGUCUCAACAGUGUCAUAUCCAAAAAAUAAAACCAAAAUUGUAACCGUAGUUACAUGCAACUAAAAAUAGAGAUAUUUGUACGUUGUAACCAUGCUAAUUGUAGGACAAACAACAUGCAACACAUCCACUAAAGUCUGGAUAGUUCCUUCAGAUUGGUCGUUAGUCUAAGGUGAAGUGUGGUAAUAAAUAACAACUUUGUACUCAUAGCUUUCAAAAAGGCUUCCUAAAGCUUGGGAAUGAACACAUGUCAUGGUGAGACACAUUAGUGACAUACACACCAUGUAGACUAACAACGUAGUUCACAAAUACAUUGGCGAGUAGAUUCAUUGUGAAUUUCCCUCGAAUUUAGUGAAAACUAUGUCGAGAAAGUUAAAAGAACACUCAAGAAUUUGAGGGUCAAAACAAGUCCAUCAAAUCUAGAGUACAAGAUAACUGGAUUGAAUGUAUAACAUCUCACUACAACCGUAGUUUCUGAAAUAUUCAAUCGCCAAUGGUAACGAUUUGUUCAACAUAGUAUUUGUCGGGUGAUUGAAGAAUUAACGAUUACCACUAGAUUUCAAUAUCCAAGCAAUUCUUUUAGACAGUUUUAUGUUUCAAGAAUAAUACAAAGUGUAGUAAGGUAGACAUGUACCCAGGAUUGACUGGAAUGGCUUCCAGCACCAAGGGGUAAUAUGGAAUCACAAUCAAAGUGGAUGUUGAUCGAAACGCCAGAAAAUCCGAUAAAUUAAAAAAUGAGCAAUUUUACCAAGUGGUCUAAAAUGUAGUCCACCUGGACCAACAGAAAGUAAGCUAACUUUUCAAGUCGAUCUAUAAUUAUGAAAAUAUCAUAAUAAUCUCCACAUGCAUAAGAUACCUCCUACAUGGAGCUUAUAGUGAUAUUUCCCUAUCUCAAUUUGGAUACAAGAAGUGAUUAUAACACUUAAAGAAUUUCUGAAUGAUUUAGAAAUAACGUCAAAUCAAUGUUUACAAACUCUAAUUGGAAUGGGAUAGGAAAGGCUGAAAAUAUUCAAAGGUAAUUAUGUCUUUUGUUGCUGUAAUAGUAAUUACAUUAGCACAAUCGGGGUAAUACACGAUAAUGCAAACGUAGACGUUGAUUUGGUUCUUCCAUCGCCGCUAAUAGAAAUUUAGCUAUUUUUAAGAGAAAGUGUAUUUAAGAAGUUUGUGAGAUCGGUGAAGGUUCUAGACACGUUUCUCUAUAGAGAAGUGUCAUCCAGUUUUCCAAAUGAAGAUGAUGACAAUUGACUCUAGGUCAUGAAUAAGAUGAUUCAUUUUGAAUGGUUCUACACAUUGGGAAUUAUAAGUUGUUGAUGCACAAAAUCAGUGGGGACUUUGGUACAACAGAAAAUGUUAAGUUUGUGACCUUCGCUAGAUUGCUCUGGUCACUAGUGUGGAUAAGUAUGUAAAUGGAUAGGGAUAGGGAAGCGAACACAAGAUGUACGUGGUUCACCCAGAUUGGCUAUGUCCACGGAUUAGAGGAGUUUUCAUUAAUUGUGAAGGGUUUACAUAAGUACAUAGGUUCAAGCUCUCAUUUGGUCUAGUGAAUGAUUUAGUACAAAUGACAUUAAGAAAUAUUGUGAGAGAAUGAUCUCUAUUUAUAGAAGAGAGUUUCUAGUUUCAUUCUGACAUUGACACAUGUCGUGUUGUGAUUGGCUUCUGAUGUUGACACGUGUCGUAUUAUGAUUAGCUUCUGAUGUCGACACGUGUCGCGCUGUGAUUGGCCUCCUGGUUGGAGGGAAACUCUUCUGGGUCCUUGAUGGUAUAACGUUGACCAGUGCUUAGUAGUUUUGGGAUUGGUCAAGUAUGGUAUAAACAAUACUCCCCUAAAUUUCCGAGUGAGAGAAGCUCCUCGGUUGGGGACUUGCAAGAUCCAAGCCAUUGAGUAAUCACGAAACUUCUAAGUACCGAAGUGUGGUAUCAUUUUCACUUGCCUUAUCUGUCUCAUAUGUAGAUGUGGCAUCUUCUUUGGAAGUAUUUUUCCUCCAACAAGGGGUGGUAUCUUUAACCGAUGAAGAUGCACAAGGUAAUGUAUCAAUUUCACUUGAAGCUUACUU